rnacentral:rRNA from 1 species
CCUACGGGAGGCAGCAGUAGGGAAUUUUCGGCAAUGGGGGGAACCCUGACCGAGCAACGCCGCGUGAACGAAGAAGUUAUUCGUAAUGUAAAGUUCUUUUAACAGGGAAGAAAGAGAAAUUUGACGGUACCUGAAGAAUAAGCUCCGGCUAACUACGUGCCAGCAGCCGCGGUAAUACGUAGGGAGCGAGCGUUAUCCGGAUUUAUUGGGUUUAAAGGGUGCGCAGGCGGAAUGUCAAGUCAGCGGUAAAAUUUCGGGGCUCAACCCCGUCGUGCCGUUGAAACUGGCGUUCUUGAGUGAGCGAGAAGUAUGCGGAAUGCGUGGUGUAGCGGUGAAAUGCAUAGAUAUCACGCAGAACUCCGAUUGCGAAGGCAGCAUACCGGCGCUCAACUGACGCUCAUGCACGAAAGCGUGGGUAUCGAACAGGAUUAGAUACCCUAGUAGUC